rnacentral:lncRNA from 1 species
CUGAGCUCUCACUUCAGCCAUCCAAACUUAUGGUGUUCUUCCUAGAACCAUUAUAUCCAAACUAAAUAGAUCAAACUUUAAUGUUAGAGCUUUAAUACAAUAUCCUUCUCCAAGGCAUGAUACUGAAGAUGUAGAAAAGAGCAAGCAAGAAGUCAGCUUCAAGGUCCUGAAUCUCAUGGCCUUCAGUGCUCGUGAAAUGGUCGUUUGCUGCCCUUUGAGCACAGCCCAGACCUUUGAAUAUUUGAGAAUAUUGUUUCCCAAGAUGAAGAAAAAUAAUCAUUCAAUGUGUAUCUGUGAUUCUGCUGUCAGAGGCUUUUCUGCUUUCACUCAAGCUCAAUCCUGAGGUGGCUGUUAACUUCAGUAAAGAUUUGCGGCAGAGUACUACUGGGAUUGGCAGCAGCAAGACAAGGUAAAAAAAUCCACGAAACAGUAAAACGUUUAUUGAUGCACAGUGUAAAUGCUUCAUGGACUUUGUGACAGCUGAUGGAGAUGUAGUCAUAGCCAAGCUGAAUUUCCACUUCCAUGGACAGAUGUGCUGGGACAAUGUGCUCUGUAUUUAGGUGUUUUCACUUCCUUGCCUUGGACCAGGAGGGACUUGCUUGAUUAUGGGUGAAGCAGCUGUUCUUAGAUUUUGUGCUCAAGCCAUGGCAAUUUAUUUCUGACAUUUCCUCCUUAAACUGCUCUGUGACAUGUUCCUGCCUAGUGGAGGUGUCAGUACUGAACCAAGCACAUGUAGCUCCAAAAGCUCCAUAUGCUUUAGAGGGUGAGAGAGGUUCUAAAAUGUGUCAGCCUUUGCUGCACUAAAGGGUUUGACUUUAAUGCCAUACUUGUGAUAUUUCUUCUAAUUAAGAAGAGUGAGGAAUACUACUAAUUCAAUAGUAAAGUUAAUUAGCAAGACUAUAAAUGUUUAUUUGUUUUUUAAUAGCAACAAAUGCUAUAAAUUACUCCCAUGUUUGUCUAUUGUAAAAUCCUGCUGUUAGAGUAAUCUGUGAUGUAGCUUUUUCUUACAAUAGAUGUUGGCAUUGCAACAGCAUGAAUAUGAUUUUGGCAUGGAUUGUGAAAUAACCAUGUUAAGUGUUAAACCUGUUAAAUUUUUGAAUAGGACUCGUCAUGUGAGAAAGAUUAAAUGUCAUGUAUAUUGAUGUAUAUUGAACUGCUUAAUGUAAUCUGUAUUUACAAUCAGAAACCUGCUUUUGCAGGCAUUUCAAAUUUACUACAAUAAAACUGUAAGAGCU